rnacentral:rRNA from 1 species
UAAUACGUAGGUGGCAAGCGUUGUCCGGAUUUAUUGGGUUUAAAGGGUGCGUAGGCGGCUUAUUAAGUCAGUGGUGAAAUAUCGCAGCUUAACUGUGAGGGUGCCAUUGAUACUGAUGAGCUUGAGUACAGACGAGGUAGGCGGAAUUGACGGUGUAGCGGUGAAAUGCUUAGAUAUCGUCAAGAACACCUAUAGCGAAGGCAGCUUACUAGGCUGUAACUGACGCUGAGGCACGAAAGUGUGGGGAUCAAACAGGAUUAGAUACCCUGGUAGUCCACACUGUAAACGUUGAUUACUCGCUGUUUGCGAUACACAGCAAGCGGCUUAGCGCAAGCGAUAAGUAAUCCACCUGGGGAGUACGCCGGCAACGGU